rnacentral:lncRNA from 1 species
AGCCGCUGAUCAACCGAAUUGUACUUAUCACGAAAAUGUACUUAUCACUGAAUGAACAGAGUGAUUUAUUCCUUCUUUACCUUCGAAUAUUUACCUACUAACCUACUCUUGUUUGUCACAGGGCUUUUCUUCGAAACAUCUAUACGCGGGAGCAGAAGUGUGAUUGCUGUAUCACAUCGUCACAAGUUUGUUGACUAUAUGACCUGACGAUAAACAGCUGAUAGUUAUCAGAAGAACAGCAAUGCCUUACAAACACUGCGAUUUCAUGUGACUCAGUUCAGUCAAAGGAACAGCUGCCCUCGAAGAGAAUACGUAGCUGCUGAGGAACAUUCAGGAUUACAGAGAGCAACAUGUCACGAUUGGGCAUAAUAACAGCUAUUUUUUUCGGGCCACUGCUUUUUGUUGGCUGCGCGGCCUCGCUCGCCAUCGGCGCCCAGGAGUCCGACAUGCACCUGCUGUUCACCGACCUGUUCGCCACGUACAACAAGCACGUGCGGCCCGUGCUGCACCACGACGAGAUCAUGAAGGUCUUCUUCGAGAUCUCGCUCUUCAACAUCC